CAGCCGUAAACUAUGCGCGUUAGGUGUACUGGUGACCACGAGUCACCGGGUGCCGAAGGGAAACCGUGAAACGUGCCGCCUGGGAAGUACGGUCGCAAGGCUGAAACUUAAAGGAAUUGGCGGGGAGCACCACAACGGGUGGAGCCUGCGGUUUAAUUGGACUCAACGCCGGAAAUCUCACCGGAUAGGACAGACAUAUGAUAGUCGGGCUGAAGACUCUACUUGAUGAUCUGAGAGGAGGUGCAUGGCGUCAGUGACU
rnacentral:rRNA from 1 species